rnacentral:pre_miRNA from 1 species
CAAGUACUCCCUCCAUCCGGAAAUACUUGUCAUCAAAAUGGAUGUGUCUAGAACUAAAAUACAUCUAGAUACAUCCAUUUCAAUGACAAGUAUUUUCGGACAGAGGGAGUACAAG